rnacentral:rRNA from 1 species
AGAGUUUGAUCAUGGCUCAGAGUGAACGCUGGCGGCAGGCCUAAUACAUGCAAGUCGAACGGCAGCACAGCAGAGCUUGCUCUGUGGGUGGCGAGUGGCGGACGGGUGAGGAAUACGUGGGAAUCUGCCCAGUCGUGGGGAUAACGUAGGGAAACUUACGCUAAUACCGCAUGCGCCCUUCGGGGGAAAGCCGGGGACCUUCGGGCCUGGCGCGAUUGGAUGAGCCCACGUCGGAUUAGCUAGUUGGCGGGUAAAGGCCCACCAAGGCGACGAUCCGUAGCUGGGUCUGAGAGGAUGAUCAGCCACACUGGAACUGAGACACGGUCCAGACUCCUACGGGAGGCAGCAGUAGGGAAUAUUGGACAAUGGGCGCAAGCCUGAUCCAGCCCAUGCCGCGUGAGUGAAGAAGGCCCUCGGGUUGUAAAGCUCUUUUGUCCGGAAAGAAAAGCGCCGGGUUAAUACCCUGGUGUCCUGACGGUACCGGAAGAAUAAGCACCGGCUAACUUCGUG